rnacentral:rRNA from 1 species
CAUGGGGAUAUUUGCUAAAGAUUCAUCGCUGAUAGAUAGGCAUGCGUUCCAUUAGGCAGUUGGCGGGGUAACGGCCCACCAAACCGACGAUGGAUAGGGGUUCUGAGAGGAACCUCCCCCACAUUGGUACUGAGACACGGACCAAACUCCUACGGGAGGCAGCAGUGAGGAAUAUUGGUCAAUGGGCGUAAGCCUGAACCAGCCAAGUCGCGUGAGGGAUGAAGGUUCUAUGGAUCGUAAACCUCUUUUAUAAGGGAAUAAAGUGCGGGACGUGUCCCGUUUUGUAUGUACCUUAUGAAUAAGGAUCGGCUAACUCCGUGCCAGCAGCCGCGGUAAUACGGAGGAUCCGAGCGUUAUCCGGAUUUAUUGGGUUUAAAGGGUGCGUAGGCGGCCUUUUAAGUCAGCGGUGAAAGUCUGUGGCUCAACCAUAGAAUUGCCGUUGAAACUGGGAGGCUUGAGUAUGUUUGAGGCAGGCGGAAUGCGUGGUGUAGCGGUGAAAUGCUUAGAUAUCACGCAGAACCCCGAUUGCGAAGGCAGCCUGCCAAGCCAUGACUGACGCUGAUGCACGAAAGCGUGGGGAUCAAACAGGAUUAGAUACCCUGGUAGUCCACGCAGUAAACGAUGAUCACUAGCUGUUUGCGAUACACAGUAAGCGGCACAG